UCUCCAGAGCAUAGAAUUCACAGGGAACCCUAAGUAUCCCUAUGACAUUGUGACACCUGUUUCCACUGUGCCCUCACCCUUCUGGGAGGCUAGGGUAUCACCUUGGCAAUGAAUUCAUUUGGACCAUCCAGCCGGGCCUUUUCCUUCUCCUCUUCCUCCCUUUCAUCAGCCCUCCUUUGCAACUUUUCUACCCUUGAUUUGAGCACUCGGUUUGGCCCUUGGCAAUGCAUUUCUCCAAGGAAAAGGAUGGACCAUGCAUUGCCUGCAAUAUCCCAAGUGAUCCGACCCCCUGAAUCUGUCCCCACAUUUCUCUACCCGGAGCUUUUACUAAUGACCAUCGGAGAUUAGGUUUGUCCCUCGAAGUUGCUCAAUUACAUUAUUCCAUCUCAUUACAUUACAUUAUUACAUUAUUACCUGUGCCCAUAACACUUCUUUCCCCUCACUGUUACUAUUGCCUCCCACCCACCUUGCUAAGGUUCUUUUCGUUCUUUGGAUCCUCCCUUCCAUUUCACUGUCUCUGAGCUGGUAGCUUUAACUCCCUGGCCUGCUCUGGGUUUUCUCCGUGCUCCUUACCCUACACAAGUCCUCUGGGCAGUUGUCACACUUGUAAGCAAAUGAUCCUGUCAUAGUGCCUGACCCCCACGAUAGAUUUUAAGCUCCACCAUGGGAGAGACUGUAUGCUUAAGGGCAAGCACAUAGUAACUGCUCAAAAAUAUGUGUUGGAAGAAGGAAAAGAUGACUGAACGAAGCCAUUUUGAUCAGGAUCCGUUCUACUGUACUUUCGCCAUCAUCUGAUUCAACAAAGAAGUUUUUCUCAGCUGACAUU
rnacentral:lncRNA from 1 species